CACGUAGGGCGCGGGCGUGUCCGGAAUUAUUGGGCGUAAAGAGCUCGUAGGCGGCCUGUCGCGUCGACCGUGAAAACCCGCAGCUCAACUGCGGGAGCUUGCGGUCGAUACGGGCAGGCUGGAGUUCGGUAGGGGAGACUGGGAAUUCCUGGUGUAGCGGUGAAAUGCGCAGAUAUCAGGAGGAACACCGGUGGCGAAGGCGGGUCUCUGGGCAAUAACUGACGCUGGAGGAGCGAAAGCGUGGGGAGCGAACGG
rnacentral:rRNA from 1 species